CUGGCUGGCGGGCUGGCUUGCUGGCGGGCUGGCGGGCUGGCGGAAUAAGCUUGUCCGGGCCAUAACUAUGUCGUUCAUUGUCAGAUUUUAAAAUCAUUUGGCACAUUUGUUCACCAUCAUUGGACGGUGUGUCGCGCGAAAUAAUUAUGUCGAUAUCUCCAAGGUCAAGGUCACACUUUGAGUUCAAAGGUCAAAAAUGGCCAUAAAUGAGCUUGUCCUGGCCAUAACUAUGUCAUUCAUUGUGAGAUUUUAAAAUCAUUUGGCACAUUUGUUCACCAUCAUGGGACGGUGUGUCCCACGAAAGAAUCACGUCAAUAUCUCCAAUGUCAAGGUCGCCACGACUAAAAAUAGAUUUAAAAAAAAAAAAAAAACUUACAAAGGGGGUUAUUUUUUUUUGGUCAUUUCAAAA